rnacentral:rRNA from 1 species
AUUGAACGCUGGCGGCAGGCCUAACACAUGCAAGUCGAGCGGCAGCACGGGAAGCUUGCUUCCUGGUGGCGAGCGGCGGACGGGUGAGUAAUGCAUAGAAAUCUGCCCGGUAGUGGGGGAUAACCUGGGGAAACCCAGGCUAAUACCGCAUACGUCCUACGGGAGAAAGCAGGGGAUCUUCGGACCUUGCGCUAUCGGAUGAGUCUAUGUCGGAUUAGCUUGUUGGUGAGGUAAUGGCUCACCAAGGCGACGAUCCGUAGCUGGUCUGAGAGGAUGAUCAGCCACAUCGGGACUGAGACACGGCCCGAACUCCUACGGGAGGCGGCAGUGGGGAAUAUUGGACAAUGGGCGAAAGCCUGAUCCAGCCAUGCCGCGUGUGUGAAGAAGGCCUUCGGGUUGUAAAGCACUUUCAGUGGGGAAGAAAGCCUUGGGGCUAAUACCCUCGAGGAAGGACAUCACCCACAGAAGAAGCACCGGCUAACUCCGUGCCAGCAGCCGCGGUAAUACGGAGGGUGCGAGCGUUAAUCGGAAUUACUGGGCGUAAAGCGCGCGUAGGCGGUCUGAUAAGCCGGUUGUGAAAGCCCCGGGCUCAACCUGGGAACGGCAUCCGGAACUGUCAGGCUAGAGUGCAGGAGAGGAAGGUAGAAUUCCCGGUGUAGCGGUGAAAUGCGUAGAGAUCGGGAGGAAUACCAGUGGCGAAGGCGGCCUUCUGGACUGACACUGACGCUGAGGUGCGAAAGCGUGGGUAGCAAACA